rnacentral:rRNA from 1 species
CCUGGCUCCGUAUGAACGCUAGCUACAGGCUUAACACAUGCAAGUCGAGGGGCAGCAUGGUCUUAGCUUGCUAAGGCCGAUGGCGACCGGCGCACGGGUGAGUAACACGUAUCCAACCUGCCGUCUACUCUUGGACAGCCUUCUGAAAGGAAGAUUAAUACAAGAUGGCAUCAUGAGUCCGCAUGUUCACAUGAUUAAAGGUAUUCCGGUAGACGAUGGGGAUGCGUUCCAUUAGAUAGUAGGCGGGGUAACGGCCCACCUAGUCUUCGAUGGAUAGGGGUUCUGAGAGGAAGGUCCCCCACAUUGGAACUGAGACACGGUCCAAACUCCUACGGGAGGCAGCAGUGAGGAAUAUUGGUCAAUGGGCGAGAGCCUGAACCAGCCAAGUAGCGUGAAGGAUGACUGCCCUAUGGGUUGUAAACUUCUUUUAUAAAGGAAUAAAGUCGGGUAUGGAUACCCGUUUGCAUGUACUUUAUGAAUAAGGAUCGGCUAACUCCGUGCCAGCAGCCGCGGUAAUACGGAGGAUCCGAGCGUUAUCCGGAUUUAUUGGGUUUAAAGGGAGCGUAGAUGGAUGUUUAAGUCAGUUGUGAAAGUUUGCGGCUCAACCGUAAAAUUGCAGUUGAUACUGGAUAUCUUGAGUGCAGUUGAGGCAGGCGGAAUUCGUGGUGUAGCGGUGAAAUGCUUAGAUAUCACGAAGAACUCCGAUUGCGAAGGCAGCCUGCUAAGCUGCAACUGACAUUGAGGCUCGAAAGUGUGGGUAUCAAACAGGAUUAGAUACCCUGGUAGUCCACACGGUAAACGAUGAAUACUCGCUGUUUGCGAUAUACAGCAAGCGGCCAAGCGAAAGCGUUAAGUAUUCCACCUGGGGAGUACGCCGGCAACGGUGAAACUCAAAGGAAUUGACGGGGGCCCGCACAAGCGGAGGAACAUGUGGUUUAAUUCGAUGAUACGCGAGGAACCUUACCCGGGCUUAAAUUGCAGAUGAAUUACGGUGAAAGCCGUAAGCCGCAAGGCAUCUGUGAAGGUGCUGCAUGGUUGUCGUCAGCUCGUGCCGUGAGGUGUCGGCUUAAGUGCCAUAACGAGCGCAACCCUUGUUGUCAGUUACUAACAGGUUCCGCUGAGGACUCUGACAAGACUGCCAUCGUAAGAUGUGAGGAAGGUGGGGAUGACGUCAAAUCAGCACGGCCCUUACGUCCGGGGCUACACACGUGUUACAAUGGGGGGUACAGAGGGCCGCUACCACGCGAGUGGAUGCCAAUCCCCAAAACCUCUCUCAGUUCGGACUGGAGUCUGCAACCCGACUCCACGAAGCUGGAUUCGCUAGUAAUCGCGCAUCAGCCACGGCGCGGUGAAUACGUUCCCGGGCCUUGUACACAC